UCCAAUGUAAUGAUAGGAAAUAGUAACAAGAAGCCUUUCGUCAGAGAGCCGGUGGUUGGUGAAAACCGGUGGGAGGUCCUUGUGAAUCCAUCCUUGAACAGGUGUGCCACAAUGCGCACCCGGCAAACGCCGUUAUCGUAAGUGAGCCGGAAGAAAUUUUACAUUUCUUCAAUAAGGGUGGUAUCGCGGGAUCAAACUCCCGUCCCUGUA
rnacentral:ncRNA from 1 species